rnacentral:tRNA from 1 species
GUUGUGGCCCAGUGGUAGAGUGCUCGCCAAGCAUGCAUGGGGCACUGGGUUCAAUCCUCAGCACCACA